CGAGUUCCCCGCAAGGAACCAAGCCUCUCAACAAGCCCGGAGUCAACAACAUCAUUGGAACUCAGUCCGUUCAUCACUAGGCAUCGGCCUUUCAUGAAUGCAUGCACAUCAAACAUGCAUCAUAAUCAACAUAGCAACAACAGCAUCAUAUAGUCAUGUUAUCAUCAUCAUUAAUAACAUGACACACACUCAACAAAACAACAACAAUAUUACAACGAUAUCACAUCGUUACAUAACACAUUUAUAACUAAACACGUAAAUUCAAC
rnacentral:lncRNA from 1 species